GCGGGGAAAUGAAACCAAAUGGGAUUCCUUAAGUAAUUGCGAAUGAAACAAGGAAAUGCUCAGCUUGAAAAAUGGGGCCUUCGGCUUUGAAUUGUAAUUUUGAAAUGUAUUGCCAAUGGAGGCGCAGGUGCAAGCCUAUUGAAAGAAAGCGUCAAUGAGGGUGAGAUUCCUUUUUGUCAUUUGCAGUCCUCCGUGCACGGUAUAUAUUUGACGAGUCACACUCCUCGGCAUUGGAAUGCAAAGUGGGUGGUAAAUUCCAUGUAAAGGUAAAUAUAUUAUUGAGACUGAUAGCAAACAAGUACCAUGAGGGAAAUAUGAAAAGGACUUUGAAAAGAGAAUUAAAAGAGUCUGCAUUUGCUGAACAGAAAGCAAACAGAAUUGAUCUUGCCUGGUGAGAUUGUUGCGUCUACUUCUGCAUUUCUAUGUUGGAUGUGGGUGCGAUGGUUCUUGCCUUGAAUGUCAGCUUCUUUUUCUGCAAAUCAUUACCCUUGCACAUGAAUGGUAAUUUGCCUGCGGGUAUUGGAAUGCAUGUGUUUGCCAUGAUUUGUGAUUUGAUACAUGUGUCUGGUGGUACUUGUGUGUGUUCCUUUGUCAAAGGGGAAAGGUUUGCUUCCUUGAGCACCACAAGCCCUUGCACAAUGUUGCUGCAAAAUGUUCUGCUGACCCGUCUGUAACACGGCCCA
rnacentral:rRNA from 1 species